rnacentral:rRNA from 1 species
UUUUUAAUUGGGAUCUUGUAUGAAUGAUUGGACAAAAGAAAUACUGUCUUUAUAUUAAAAUUUGAAUUUAACUUUUAAGUGAAAAGGCUUAAAUAUUCUAAAGGGACGAUAAGACCCUAUAAAGCUUUACAUUAGUAAAUUAACAUAGUAAAUUUUUUUAUAAGAACUAUAUUGGUUUUUUUUGUUGUGUUGGGGAGAUAAAAGCUAUAAUUUAUAUUAACUGCUUAAGAAAGAGUCAAUAAAUUAAUGAGUAAGUUUAUAGAUCCUUUUUUGAAGAUUUAAAGAUUAAGUUACUUUAGGGAUAACAGCGUUAUUUUUUUAAAGAGUCCUUAUCGGAAAAAAAGAUUGCGACCUCGAUGUUGAAUUAAAAUAUCUUUAUAAUGUAGGUAUUAUAAAAGAAGGUCUGUUCGACCUUUAAUUUUUUAC